rnacentral:lncRNA from 1 species
GGGAUUUUGUUUUGUUUUCCUCUACCCAAAGGUAUAUUUCCCAAGAGAUAUAACUAAAACAUUCAAUAAUAUUUCUUUGUAUAGCAUCCAAUAAUGCAAUGGCUGGAAGACAAGAAAGCGAUGGAGUAGCUGGGCGGGUGCACUGGAUAUUAUCAAUAAUUUUGAUGCUGUGGAGUUACCAGAGCAGUGGACAAGGACAAGUAUCCUGUCUCAUUGCUGGGCUCUCCUAAUGAAACUGGAAUUUCUGCAGGAAUCCGGGAUAUGACUAACAUGAGAUUCACUGUGCAAUAAGGUUUUCAAUUUCUGAGUUCUGGACACCUCUUAAAGGGCUCUCUUGACAACUGUAAACUUCUUUAAAUAAAUAUUGACAUGCCAGUUUGAAAAGUAAGGAA